rnacentral:sRNA from 2 species
ACUAAGUCCACUCCUCCAUACGCAACAUUAAUUAAUAUGUUUUCCCCAAGAAUAUCGAAAACCAGAUCCAAAUGCCGACUCCUGAGAAUGACAACUAACGGCGCUCAAGAAAUAAAAAGGAGCGAGAGAGAGGCUUCGUGUUGUCGCUCUCUUCUACGAAAUGCCUGGACCUUCGGUUUCAAUUGACGGCGAAACUAACAAUGUGAAGGAUUUAGCUAAAGCUCAUACCAAUAGUCCUAAAGAGUGAAGAGCUAUGCAACCUAUUGUCAUGAGCCCAUUGGCAGAGAAGAUCGAAUAUACAGACGCAAGAAAAAUAUGACUCUCCAAAGUCGAAGUGCUAUGGCAAAGAGGGUUAAACUGUCCAUUCCCGCAUGGGCAAAUGGCGCUGUUUUUCAAGGACUCUUCAGAAGUCGCGAAAAUUGACACGCCGAGAGCGGUCUUCGCCGAGGAGAGUCUUCUGGUAGCGGUUGAGAUUCGAUCCAAGUCUUGUUUUGGAAAGCGAAGGCAAUUUGGAUAUUCGGAUUGAGUGGUAGAAACGUUCGUUCCGCAUGCUUGGACAGGAUAAUCUCGGAAGGCGUUCUAAUCAAGGGGAGUGUUGAGGCUUGCCAGCAUUCCAUAACAAUUGCGCUGUGACCGAUGAGUUUUGGUUAAUUUCAAUAUUUAGACUGUUAGGCGAUCGAAGAAUGAGGUAGAAUCAUACUCAUCAAAUAACAAGAGUUUUUAGGCUAUUUUUCGAUUCAAGGUCUAGGCAAUGCUGGAUUUACAAAACCUAGAGUAAUUCUAUCUUUAGCUGAGCAUGCGCAAAGUUUGCUGUUUCAAAAAUGUGUGGCUCAAGAAGGAAAACCCUGGCUGGUU